CCUACGGGAGGCUGCAGUAGGGAAUUUUCGUCAAUGGGCGCAAGCCUGAACGAGCAAUGCCGCGUGAACGAGGAAGGUCUUCGGAUCGUAAAGUUCUGUUGAAGGGGAAAAAGAGCGGAGAGAGGAAAUGCUUUCUGAUUGAUAUUACCCUUCGAGGAAGUCACGGCUAACUACGUGCCAGCAGCCGCGGUAAUACGUAGGUGGCGAGCGUUAUCCGGAAUGAUGGGGCGUAAAGGGUGCGUAGGCGGCCUGCUAAGUCUGGAGUGAAAGGUACCGGCUCAACCGGUACAGGCUCUGGAAACUGGCGGGCUAGAGGGCAGGAGAGGGCGGUGGAACGCCAUGUGUAGCGGUAAAAUGCGUAGAUAUAUGGAAGAACAUCAGUGGCGAAGGCGGCCGCCUGGCCUGUUAACUGACGCUGAGGCACGAAAGCGUGGGGAGCAAAUAGGAUUAGAUACCCCUGUAGUC
rnacentral:rRNA from 1 species